UUAUUCAUUCUUUUAUUCCCUCUGUCAGUCUCUGUCUUUUAAUCAUUGAAUUUAGAAUAUAUACAUUUAGUGUAAUUAUUGACAUAUUAGGGUUUAAAUCUGCCAUUUUAAUUUUUGUUUUUUGUUUGUUCUCUCUGUUUUUCAUUUCUCUAUUUUCAUGUUCUUUUUUCCUUAUGGGUUGCUUGAACCUUUUUUUAGAACUCCAGUUUGAUUAACCUAUAGUGAUUUUGAGUGUAUGCUUCUAGAUAGAUAUUUUGGUGGUUUCUCUAUGUAUUAUAUUAUAUAUACCUAACUUAUCACUGCCUACUAUUGCCCAAAUUUUGCUAGCUUGAGUAAAGUGUAGAUAACUUCUCCUUUUAGUUCCUUUUACCUUCCAAAGUUUAUAGUAUAACUGUUUUACCUAUUUAGUCAACACACAUUUAGAGUCAUAUAAGACAGUGUUAACAUUUUUGCUUCAACUAUCAAACAUAAUGUAAAGUGUGCAAAAGGAGAAGGAAAAUGUAUUCUUCAUCCAUGUUUUGAUUCUUUCCUUUGUUCUUUCUUCUUACCUAAUAUUCUAAAAGUCUUGCUUCCAUUCUGUUUAGAGGACUUCCCUUAGCCAUUCCCUUAAGGUGGGAUAAUUGAUGACAAAAAUCUCUUUGCUUCAUCUGAGAGUGUCUUGAAUUCCCCUUCAUUCUUGAAGGAUAUUUUCUCUGGACGUAGAAUUCUGUUUUUUAUUUUUGCUUUUUUUUUUUUUUUCCUUUUAGCUACUUCCUUUGUAGUGUCUGUUGAGAAAAUCUACUGUCGUUUGAAUUAUUUUUCCUUUUUAGGUAAGGUAUAAUUACUCUCUUGCUGCUUUCAAGAGUUUUUUUUUUUUUUUUUGGUCUUCAGUUUUCAGAAAUUUUACUAUAUGUUUUACAGUAGAUUAUUUGGGUUUAUACUCUUUGGGUUUCUCUAAGCUUCUUUUUUUUUUGUUUUGUUUUUUUGAAAUGGAGUUUCGCUCUUUUUGCCCAGGCUGGGGUGCAAUGGCAUGAUCUUAGCUCAUUGCAACUUCCACCUCAUGGGUUCAAGCAAUUCUCCUGUCUCAGCCUCCUGAGUAGUUGCAAUUACAGGUGCAUGCCAC
rnacentral:lncRNA from 10 species